rnacentral:misc_RNA from 1 species
AACGCAUCUUGCGCCCUUUGGUUACUCCGAAGGGCAUGCCUGUUUGAGAGUCAUUAUUAUUCUCAACUUCAAAGUUUACUUUGAAGCUUGGAUAUGGGGGGAUAUUGCUGGCAACUUGUGUGUUGGCUCCUCUGAAAUACAUUAGCAGAACCUUAAUGUCCUUUUGGCUCUGGUUUGAUAAAUGAUAUCUAUGCCAUUGCUGGGGAAACACUGGUUUCAGCUUCUAAAGUCAUUUUUGUUGAAAACUUGGCCUCAAAUCAGGUAGGACUACCCGCUGAACUUAA